CGUUAUUGCAUCGAAAAUGCAGUCAUAUAAGGAAGUAUAUAGUAUAAAGAUAGUGUUAUCGAGUGAUGAUAACGAGUCGCAUUUUCAGAAAAAAGAUAGAAAGAAAUUGAUCAACUGUCAAGCACAGGGUAAUUUGUAAACACCUAUAUAAGACAUGUAUGGGUUCUUUGAGUGCUCGAAAUGCAAGUCUAGAUGGGAAAGUGCUAAGGUUACUCCUAAGCAUAUCCGAGAUCAGUAUUAUGGCCAACAAUGUAAGUCCUGCAAUAUUAUGUGCCAGCCGUACAGGGUGGAGGAGACCAAAUGCUCGCGGUGCGGUAUGGUUGCCAGGACCUGCGGAUGUGACAAAACCCGCCACACAGACCCGAGGAAGCCCCAUCGCAGCGACCUCU